AGUAAGUAGAGGAGAUGGAGAGAAAGCACAAGGAGACUCAAGGGCUACAGCUUAACCAAAUGUCGCCUCAACUUGAGGAUGUGUUCAGUAUUAUUGGACUAGGAUGAAGCUUAGUUGAUUAAAUCCGGGACAUUGAAAUAUCUUCAUGGAAUAAAUAAUUUGGUUUAAAAUAUCUGCUGCUCAUACAAAAGCUAAAAUACAAUGAGACAGAUUAAACUCCUACCAAGCAACAAAUUAUGCUACCAACUUGCUGCCGCAUAUGUUACAGUUGAACUCGAAUCUCUCAAUAUCUAAAACUACAACAACGACUUUAAAUUGGAGAACAAAAAGAAAGAAAGAAGAAACUGAAAAAGCAUUCGUGCCCAUCUCAAUUUGCCAAGCUAUCCAAGAAGCUUUGCAACUCCCUUAAACCCUCAGCAGAGAAGCUCCUAUGCACCCUUGGGCGUGGGGCAAUUAAGUUAGGGGGAGGCUCAGAUCUGAAGCAAACCACAACAACAGCUAAAUUAUCCCCACUUUUCCUUUUCAAAGCUUCAUCAACCAGAUCUUUGCUACACGUGAGUGGGUCAUUGUGCUCCUGAAGCCUCCGCCUGGCAAAAUCCACAGCAUUUUGGCUCCUAAACACAUCCCAGAGCCCAUCACAACCUAUAAUGAGGAAUUCAUCCUCUGCUGUCAGUUCUGUAGUCAUAAGCUCUGGUUCUGCACUAAGUGGCCCACCAUCUGUACCUUUCAUUUCUUCCAUGUGCCAGUCUCCUAUAGCACGAGCCACAUUAAGUAGACCAUUGAGGUAACCAUCAAAAACAUGUCCCCCUGACGCCUCAAUACGCUUCCUCUCUUUGCUGCAAGUUGGUUUAUGAUCCCUAGACAUUUCAAUUGCUUUGCCACGACGGCAUAACACUGCUCGGCAGUCUCCAGCAUUUGCCACCACCAACAACCUGUCAUCAGAGACUAAUAUCAAGAAAGUAUACAUAACCAACAUCACAUGAUUACAAUUUUGAGCACUCAUGAACAAGCUUUCAGAGAUGAGGAAAAAGAGCACCAGAAGAUGCCAGUGCAAUAUUAUGGAUGAUUGAAUUUGGGAAUGUGACCAAAGGGAAGCCUGCACUCAUUUAGCUGCAGCUUCUCGUGAUUUUCAAUCAAUCAAAGAUUAUCAAAUUCUAAAAGAUAUGUGCCACAAACUGGUUUUCUCAUGAAUAUUAAAUCCGGCUUAACCAUUUUUGGCUCAAUAUAGCCUGCAUAGCUCUUACGUUUGGCUUCUCGGUUACACAUUAAAGCACAAAGUACAUAGAUCAUUAAGAAUUGACCCAGUAGAAUGCACUUCUACAUACCAUUAAAAGUCAUGAUCGAUAACCAUAAACUGAAUACAACAUAAGGAUCCAAAUAACCUCUAAGUUUAGCCCUAGAAAGGACACUAAAAGGUGUAAUAUGAAAAAAAAUAGAGAAAUUAGUUGAAGAGAUUAGUAAGCCAUAAGAUAGCACUAUUUGUGGGUUAGAUGAACACAAACCUCCCAAUGACAAGAGCUGCCAGUGCAGUCGUGCCAGAAGCAAGGGCUGUAUCCAGGGAGCAAGCCUUUGCAAAAGCAGCAUCAGUUUGCAGAAAUGCAGAAGCAACAACCCUCUCAAUCUCCCUUGGGAAGUCUUCAUCCUCAACAAUGAACUUUGGCAAAUGCAAGCAUGCAAAGUCUGCCGCAUGUUUUCCUCCAUGUCCAUCAAACACCCCAUAGAAGGAAUUAGGCCCACUGACUACAUUAUUGAGUCCAUAGUCACUCAUAAAAUUGUCAAUGCAUAUAUAUACAUCUUCCAUGCUGGUGCGAAAGCCAAUGUCCUUCCAUGCUCCAGAACGGACAAUAGGAAUGAAGUCAGUGUUGUGAUUUUCUACGCCAAGAUCAGGUUCAACAGAGAUAUCUGAUGUCCUUGUUUUCACCUGCCAAAUUUCUUGUAAAAAACCUCAACAAAAACAAAUGUAGAAGAACAGUAGUCGAACAAUUUUGCCAAUGCUCUGCUUCCAUAAGCCAAAAAGAUCAAACAGAAAAGGAAAAAUAACAGAUCAUGUUAAAACAAGGCAAGGAAACAAAUAAUAAAAUGGCUCACAGAAACAUCGACAUAAUAAAAGCCAUUUGUACCCACCAGCUCAACUUAGCAUCUACGCAAAAGAACAAAAUCUCUAGCAAAAAGCUCAAUAUGAAGAUAUGCAUGGGAAUAAAGUAUCAUCAUUCCUUGGUACAGGCAAAAUUGUAAAAUUAAAUUGCAUACAUUUAGACCAUGCCAUUGGAGAUGGUGCCUAAUGGAACAACAGAAGAAAUCACUGACAAUGUGAUAAAGAAAGCUUCAACUGAUAAUUUGCAACCUAAAAUGAACAAAAAAGAUAAAGAAAACCUAUAGAGUAAAUAUCAAAUUUCACAAUAAUAGCUAAUCAUACAGAAACUUGGGCAAUGAACACGCUAAAUAAUAUCUACCUUCAUCAUUUUCCAUCAUUAAAAAGCAUGUUUAGAAAUAUGGUCAGAUUGCUAAAAGUGGAUACACAGUUUAUUCAGGUCAUCUAAACUCUACAAACCGUUAAUCCAACCAGUUGGAUGAGCUAUUUAAGAAUCCGGUGCUCAUAAUUCAGCUCUAUGAAAAACCACAUAUACUAAUUACAACUAUUGUUGCCAGAAUGAUGUAGAAAUGAGAAAAACCAAUUAUGAUGAUAGCUCAUCUCAACUCCAGAAAAAGGCAGUUUGUCAUCGUUUUGCCCAGAACAGUUUCCAACUUUUUAAGAGCACAUGGCAUAUGCCUCUCUUCACUUCAGCUUAAAAAUAUAACCCAAAAAAAGAAAAAGAAAAAAGGAAUAAUAAGGGAUAAGUAAUAAUAAAGAUGGUCUAUACCAGGAAGCUGGGAAUUUCAUUCAAUCAAAACAAAAACCACACUUUAAUUAAAAAAAAAAAAGUUUUCUACUGGAUGACAAUAACAAAUUAGAGCAAACAAACAAUUGCAUUACCUAGUAACAAUUAAAAAAAAAAUCCCGAAUGAGAAAGUGCAGAAAUUUUUAGAAAGGAACUCACAAGGGACUGGUGCCGAACAAGCGUCUUCUUACACGAAACGGUAACGUUAUCAAUGCUAAAACGCUGUCGACACGCUUCAGAGAGAGGAUUCGGAGGCCGACCCUCGCUGGAGCUGCCAUUCUCCCCAAUUCCACCAAACCCUUUGCUUCCCUCCAUUUUCACAUACCUCUAUUCAGUACCAAACCACAACUUCAAAAUCUCAAAUUUUCCAAAAAAAUCUGUUUCAGAGUAACUCACUGAGUCUGACUGAGUUAACUCGAAUAGAAACCGGAUGCUAACAGCUUAAACAAGUGGAGUUUAAAUUGAGAGAGUAAUGUGAAAGGACUUAUUGAAUCAGUCAAUGAGUUGACUCAGCUGCAAAGUUUAGGAUAUAAUGAGCAAACAGAAGUGCUGAUCCAGGAUUUCAAUAAUGUGAAGACUAUGGUUGAUUUGGGAAUUUAUUAGGGUUUUCAAGUGGCUAAGAAGGAGGAGAAGAAUACAAAAUACUGUUUUAGGGAUUAUAUAAAAGAGACGAAAUUGUAGCGAUUCAGUUGAUCUACAGAGAAACAGGAGAGAUUUGGGGCGACUCGCUCGAUGGUACUGGUUUUUCCAGGUGAAAGAUGAGAGAGGCGCAGCAGAGCAUGGCCUUGUAUGUCCAAACGAUGACGUUUCG
rnacentral:misc_RNA from 1 species